rnacentral:rRNA from 1 species
CCUACGGGUGGCAGCAGUGAGGAAUAUUGGUCAAUGGACGAGAGUCUGAACCAGCCAAGUAGCGUGAAGGAUGACUGCACUAUGGGUUGUAAACUUCUUUUAUAUGGGAAUAAAAUGUUCCACGUGUGGGCUUUUGUAUGUACCAUAUGAAUAAGGAUCGGCUAACUCCGUGCCAGCAGCCGCGGUAAUACGGAGGAUCCGAGCGUUAUCCGGAUUUAUUGGGUUUAAAGGGAGCGUAGGUGGAUUGUUAAGUCAGUUGUGAAAGUUUGCGGCUCAACCGUAAAAUUGCAGUUGAAACUGGCAGUCUUGAGUACAGUAGAGGUGGGCGGAAUUCGUGGUGUAGCGGUGAAAUGCUUAGAUAUCGCGAAGAACUCCGAUUGCGAAGGCAGCUCACUGGACUGCAACUGACACUGAGGCUCGAAAGUGUGGGUAUCAAACAGGAUUAGAUACCCUUGUAGUC